rnacentral:lncRNA from 1 species
GGACAUAAAAUAAUUUUAUCGAUAGCCAUUUAUUUGAUUACUCUAAGGCUCCAUUUGGUUUAUGAGAAAGAAGGCUUGGGGAUAGAAAAUCAAUUGUUUUCCCAUAUUUAGUAAGUCCAGUUAUGGAAAAUGGUUGUUUGGCACAUAGGAAAAUGUAACCCUCCUCCCCCUUUGGGUUUCAUUUUUCCUUCCAAUGGAA